UACGUAGGGUGCGAGCGUUGUCCGGAAUUACUGGGCGUAAAGAGCUCGUAGGUGGUUUGUCGCGUUGUUCGUGAAAACUCACAGCUCAACUGUGGGCGUGCGGGCGAUACGGGCAGACUGGAGUACUGCAGGGGAGACUGGAAUUCCUGGUGUAGCGGUGGAAUGCGCAGAUAUCAGGAGGAACACCGGUGGCGAAGGCGGUUCUCUGGGCCUGACCUGACGCUGAGGAGCGAAAGCGUGGGGAGCGAACAGG
rnacentral:rRNA from 1 species